rnacentral:lncRNA from 11 species
AGCAAAACAAACACCACUGGAGUGUCAACCCUCCUUUAUGCUAUCCAAAAGACUGGAGUUGCAUUUUUAAAAGUACCUAUUCCAACUUACAUUCAAAUUCAACUUAAGAACAAACUUACAGAACCUAUCUUGUUUGUAACUUGGGGACUGCUUGUACUCAAUGAAAAAUCAUUUUGCAAAGGAAAGUGUUUCUUUUACAAAAGGAUGUCAUUAACCGAUUGUUUGUGUUUCUAAAAGAAACAGGAAAGAGCAGAAGAGGAAUCAUGUCAUGCAAAAUAAAUUCUUAUCCUGCUGCAAUUGCGAUUUACCUGCCUUGUAUGAAAAACUUCAUAGUCUGGAAGAAAGCUGGGAGAAUUGGUUAAUGAAGCCAUCCAGGCAGCCAACUGCAGAUAUAUACAACUUUCUGUUCAGUGUAAACAAGCUCAGAGUUUCACUACUGCCCCAGUGAUUUCAUAUUGGAUUCAACAUAAGCC